rnacentral:rRNA from 1 species
UACAGAGACCCCGAGCAUUAUCCGGAUUUAUUGGGCGUAAAGAGUUCGUAGGUGGUUUCGUAAGUCAUUUGUUAAAUCUUCAGGCUCAACCUGGAGGCUGCAGGUGAUACUGCGAGGCUUGAGUAUGGGAGAGGCAAGCGGAAUGCCCGGUGUAGCGGUAAAAUGCGUUAAUAUCGGGUAGAACACCAAAGGCGAAAGCAGCUUGCUGGAACAUUACUGACACUGAGGAACGAAAGCGUGGGUAGCGAAAGGG